CCACUUGCAUUACCAAUUAAGAAAAACUAAAGACAGUUCAAGUCCAAAGGAGAUAUCAGAGCUAACUAUCAUUAAGACUUGAAAGAUGGCUUCUCCUAUUGCUGCCUUUCGUCCAACCAUUGCUCUUCUAGUUGCUUUCCUUCUCAUUGCUUCAUUGGCAUUGCCAAUUGCAGAAGGUGCAUGCCCACUUGUUUCAAAACGAAGCAAGACAUGGUCUGGCUUCUGUGGCAAAAGCGCCAACUGUGACAAGCAAUGCAGGACUUGGGAGACGGCAAAGCACGGUGCUUGCCAUGCUACGUAUAAGACAGUUUUGGGAGUUAAAGUCGCUACAGGACGUGCAUGCUUCUGCUACUUCUGCAAAAAACAUACUUAAUUAGGUCAAUUUCUGUUUGACCGCUCUUUGAUAAAUAUAUAUGGUAACUGGAAUAAAUGUGCAGUACGUACGUAUUUGCUCUCUACGUGACUGUACGGGGAGUAGUAUGAUAAUGAUGGUUUGAAAUAAGAUGUAAAAUAAUGGCUAGCUUCUCUUAUGUGUUUCUGGAUCAACAUACCAGAACCAUAUUCACCUGAUUCUAAAUAAUUGUACGUGUACUGUUUGUUUAUGGUGUUCUAAGAAACCUUUGUUCGACCA